UUAACAAAGGUUCUAGUUGGUGGGUUUACUUGGCCCACAUUUUCCGGGGACUGCAGGAAACCUGAUUCAUCAAUACAACUUGACGGUGUCAUUGCUGGAUUAAGUGAGAAAUCAGUGCCUGCAUUGCCCAUGUAAUUUGAAGAAGAGAAGGGCACAUUUGUGGAAUCACUAUCACUACCAACACCCCUAAGACUCGACAUUCCAUUCUGCAGUAGAAGAGAUGAAGGCUCUAUAUUGACACCAAAUAGAAGAUGGCUUUGUGGAUCAGUGCCACCAUCUUGGUCCAUCGAACACUCCCUACCAGGGAAGGGUGGCAAGGAAACAGAACUCUGAGAGAUGUUUGUCUGAGGGGGCCCCAACUGUUGUACUUGGGGUAGAACACCUUGUGGAGCUCCAGAAGAAAUAAGAGGUUCAACAGCAGCUCGCUUUGAUGGCCAGCCAGAAGAAGUUACCAAUGGAUUGGUUCUAGGCAGGUUCAUCAAAUGAGAUGAUUCAUCCUGGGAAAAUGAACCCAUGAGACUAUGCAAAGGAGAAACAACAGAGCUUGUCACAGGGUUCCCAUUUGAGUCGGAAAAACUCUGCUGUUGGCACAGGGAAGAGAUGGCUUGUAAUGGUGGUGACUGGGAUUGAGA
rnacentral:misc_RNA from 1 species